UUAAAAAAUAUGAGAAAUGUUUUUUUUAAAUAAUAAUGAGAGGAAUUACUUGGAAUUCAUCUUAGGACAUUUUCCAUAUCUAGAAGUUAAGUUUCGUUACACAAAUUAGGUUUCCGCGCCCUCGAAAGCGCGCCUUUUCCGUAGGUACUCUCCUCCAGACAAACACAGAAAAACACACAGAACCCAGCAAGGAAGGCCAUAUUCGCGGGGGGAACGAAGUGGAAGAUACCCUUGAGAACAGGGCUUUUGGG